rnacentral:rRNA from 1 species
UGAAUACGAGACGCUAAGGCGUCGAAGUAGUGUAUGUCAUACUUCCAAGAAAAGCUUGCACUGUCAUAGAUAAAAAACGCCUGUACCAUAACCGACACAGGUGGGUAGGUAGAGUAUACUAAGGGGCGCGAGAUAACUCUCUCUAAGGAACUCGGCAAAAUAACUCCGUAACUUCGGGAGAAGGAGUGCCUUAUUCGUAAGGUUGCAAUAACAAGAUCCAAGCAACUGUUUAUCAAAAACACAGGUCUCCGCUAAGUCGUAAGACGAUGUAUGGGGGCUCACGCCUGCCCAGUGCCAGAAGGUUAAAGAAGUUGGUUAGCAAUUGCGAAGCUGAUAACUGAAGCCCUGGUGAACGGCGGCCGUAACGAUAACGGUCCUAAGGUAGCGAAAUUCCUUGUCGGGUAAGUUCCGACCCGCACGAAAGGCGUAAUGAUUUGGAUACUGUCUCGGAGAGGGGCUCGGUGAAAUAGACUUGUCUGUGAAGAUGCGGACUACCUGCACCAGGACAGAAAGACCCUAUGAAGCUUUACUGUAACUUGGAAUUGAAAUUGGACUUUAUUCGCGCAGUAUAGGUGGGAGGUUUGAUUAUAAUCUUGUGGGAUUAUUGGAGCCAUCAGUGAGAUACCACUCUUGUAAUGUUAGAUUUCUAACUUUGAAUCAUUAUCUGGUCAAAGAACAGUUUCAGGCGGGCAGUUUGACUGGGGCGGUCGCCUCCUAAACGGUAACGGAGGCGUACAAAGGUUUCCUCUGAACGGUUAGAAAUCGUAUCUAGAGUGUAAAGGCAUAAGGAAGCUUGACUGUGAGACCUACAAGUCGAGCAGGGACGAAAGUCGGUCUUAGUGAUCUGACGGUACUGAGUGGAAAGGCCGUCACUCAACGGAUAAAAGUUACUCUAGGAUAACAGGCUGAUCUCCCCCAAGAGUUCACAUCGACGGGGAGGUUUGGCACCUCGAUGUCGGCUCAUCGCAUCCUGGGGCGGUAGUACGUCCCAAGGGUUGGGCUGUUCGCCCAUGAAAGCGGUACGCGAGCUGGGUUCAGAACGUCGUGAGACAGUUCGGUCCAUAUCCGGUGUAGGCGUUAGAAUAUUGAGAGGAGCCUUCUUUAGUACGAGAGGACCGAGAAGGACAUACCUCUGGUGUACCAGUUAUCGUGCCAACGGUAAACGCUGGGUAGCUAUGUAUGGAGUGGAUAACCGCUGAAAGCAUCUAAGUGGGAAGCCCACCUCAAGAUAAGUAUUCUCAUC